CUGAUGAUGGAUAUUUUCUAUACUGCAAGUUUCUCAGUCAAAUGAUCUUCUGAUGGUUGAUUUCUUUGGCCAUUUUGGCUUGGAAUCAUCGAUGUUGCUGUUGAACACUUCUGGGAGACACAAUAUAGCAGAAGGCUCAUGCAGGAUGAAUUACAUAGAGAAGAAAAACAGAUUCAACAAAAACAAAACUGUUUUAAUGCCCUGACUGUUUUGUUUUUCCAAUCAAAAACUUGAAUAUUUGGAUUGAUAGUAUCAGGAAAGGAAAACAGACAUUCAUGAUGGAACCAAAAAGAGGUACUAAAGAGAGAAGGUUCUGUCCAGAAGAAAAUAAUUUCUAUUGGUGAAGACAAUGAGUAAAGAGGAAAAUAGUAAUUGAAUAAUUGAAGAAUUACUGCAAUACAGAUCCAGUUUUCAACCUUCAGAGUCAGUUGCUAAUACUUCAAUGGGUGGAGCAAAAUGAUGUCAUUGGUUAUGGCAACCAUUUAUCAAUUUAAGUCACCUUUCCCUGGCCUGGUAAUUUCUAUAGACAUGCUGGUCUGCAACAUUUCCAAUUUCUAGCUAACCAGGCCUUGGGCCAAGAAUAUUCAUGGGACUGCAAGGGGAGGGGUCAAAAUAAUGAAAAUUAUUCCUGCUCCUUUUCUGUUUGCAUCACAAAACUGUACACAUACAACAAAAGAAAGGAAUUUGCAUGCAACACUGCUUUUGUCAUUUUGAUGAAAGCACUGUCACCUGAGGACCCAGUACCACCGGACACCAUUCCCAUUUAUAGUGAUUGAAGUUCAAGAAGAUGGAGCAGGGGAAACCCAAAGAAUAAUAGCAGCCAUGAUCCUAUUUUUUUCUAUUUUAAAAAAAUCCAUGUUUUGAUGAAUUAGUUUGCCAUGUAUAGCCCUGUGAAAAAUAAAGCAUUGAGAUCAA